AGAACGAGCGCUGGCGGCGUGCCUAACACAUGCAAGUCGCACGAGAAAGGGUAGCAAUACCUGAGUAAAGUGGCGGCACGGGUGAGUAACACGUGAAUGAUCUACCUCCGAGUGGGGAAUAACUGGAGAGAAAUCUUAAGCUAAUACCGCAUAACACUUACGAGUCAAAGCAGCAAUGCGCUUGGAGAGGAGUUCGCGGCCGAUUAGUUAGUUGGCGGGGUAAUGGCCACCAAGACGAUGAUCGGUA
rnacentral:rRNA from 1 species